rnacentral:rRNA from 1 species
AUUGAACGCUGGCGGCAUGCCUUACACAUGCAAGUCGAACGGCAGCGGGCCUUCGGGUGCCGGCGAGUGGCGAACGGGUGAGUAAUGCAUCGGAACGUGCCAUUGAGUGGGGGAUAACGUAGCGAAAGUUACGCUAAUACCGCAUAUUCUGUGAGCAGGAAAGCAGGGGACCGCAAGGCCUUGCGCUCUUUGAGCGGCCGAUGUCAGAUUAGCUAGUUGGUGAGGUAAAGGCUUACCAAGGCGACGAUCUGUAGCGGGUCUGAGAGGAUGAUCCGCCACACUGGAACUGAGACACGGUCCAGACUCCUACGGGAGGCAGCAGUGGGGAAUUUUGGACAAUGGGCGCAAGCCUGAUCCAGCCAUGCCGCGUGAGUGAAGAAGGCCUCGGUUGUAAG